GUGCUCAUUUUGGCAGCACAUAUACCAAAAUUGGAACGAUAUAGAGAAGAUUAGCAUGGCCCCUGUGCUAAUCAAUGCUUCACUCAAAUUCGUGAAGCAUUCCAUAUUAAA
ensembl:snRNA U6 U6 spliceosomal RNA